GAGGAGGUGGUCGAAUGGUGAAAAGCGACAAACUACAAACUUGUUGAAGAUAGGUUUUCUAUGUAGGUUCAAAUCAUGUCUCUCUCA
rnacentral:tRNA from 1 species